CGUUGGGAACAGCCCGCUCCCACCGCGGCAACAUUUAUCGCAAAAGCAGGAAAUUGCUUAUUAUUAAACUAGCUGGCAAGGGAGCGGGAGCCGAUGCUGCUCCACACUGGCACAGCACUUACUUUGCUGCUUUCCCCGCCUCUCCUCAUUCCGCUCUUUCUUUUUCUUCUUCCCCCUCUUUCUCUCUCUCCCCUCUCUCUCUCUCCUCUUCUUUUUUUCAUUUUGGCUUCUAUUCAAAUGUGGGUCAGGGGUGAGCGGCUCCCAACGUCACAAGCUUGCAAGAUGGCGCUGGGAGGAAGGCUGUGAGAUGAGGAACAGGCUGGUAUAAACCGAGAGGACAGGAGAGGAGCAGGGGAAGCAGAGCCGCUGCUCCAGAUGCACUAAGAAGCGCCUGGUUCUCCAUUCUGCAUCCGUGCAGCCACGUUCUAUUGAUGGCCUGUUGUGAUUUCAAUGGAACAUCAUGGGAUGUACCUGGCACGUCGGGCAGCACUGGAUGGAGGUGCCUUUAGCCCAAUGUACCUGGCAUGUGGAAUUCAGAGUAUGUGGUGGUGGAGUCUAAACAGACUUAGAGGCCUGCACAUGACUGCCAGUCACAGCCACUCCAGAGAAGAGAGAGAAAGCAAUAAGAAAGAAGGAAGCCAGCUGUCAGAAGGAACAUCCAUGUGGACAAAGCCAUCCAGAUAAGUGCUGCAAGGAGGAACAGGGUGCUGAGUUCAGUGCAUCCUCAGGGACAGAGCCUGGAAACAAGAAGUGCUUGGAUGUUCUCAGCAACAGCACUAUGAGCUAGCUGCUGGCAAGAACUAUCCAUGGCAGCAUUCACACAUCCUGUUUCUCUUUCCGCCUUUUGAAGGUAUCAAAGCCUACACACGCACCAUCUCUCUUCUCUUAGGUCUCUUCAGGAAUGGACAUGGACCUCCCCUGUUGCCUAAAAAGGAUGAGAAAGGGAAUGGAACCUGAACUCACGGCCUCCUACACCUAAGUCAGCAGACUGCAUCCCUUUGUGCCAGCCAGCUCAAGGCCUUUGGUGAAAAACAAAAGCACAAGACUUUCCAGCAUGUUUAAUUAACAACCACAGGGAGCGUAAUACAGCCUCACAAAUGGAAUAACGUACUGAAACUGGCAAAAGAAAAUAACACAGAGUUGAAGUUUACUUCUGGAAGGAUGCUGAAUUUCAUGAGAACGCAACAUCAGCACUCAAAGCCUGGCUCUUGUAGAGAUGCCCAGCACCGCGCUUUGGAGCCAGCAUUGCACAGCCACUGCAGCACUUCAGCGCUGAAUCCACUGUUUCUACAUAGCUACCACACUGAAAGGGGCUUGAGUACAGCAGUAAGACUAAUACAGAACACUUCGUAGAGCUGGGUCCAGCUCAAAGUUCUUUAUAAAGUCAAACAUGUAUUUAGGUAGUUAUUACCAUCACAGUCACUCAGGUUCCAUCUUGCUACUUUAGUCAUACCAAUAUCACCACUGGCAAAGACAGGAGGCUGGCCCUGUUUCUUGUUUUCAACCCCAAAUGCCACUCUGAAGAUGCACAGGAACCACAUCUCCAAACUUCUGAAGUACCUUAAUACAUGAAAGAGUACCCAGUUACAUGACAGCAGGAAGACUGUGGUGAUAACCAUUUGGGGCACAGAUCACAUAGCUGGAGGGAUACCAUACUGAUGUAUCAUGCUGUAGCGGAGCAGAGGAAAGAAUCAGUAGUGAGAAUCUUUCACUUAGUGUAUCAGUUUUGAUAAGUCUGUUAAGGCCCUGUACCUAGCAACAGGAUGAGAUAGACUUACUACAGGCAAACAGCAAGCCUGCCAAGAGCAGCCUCCCGAUGACUUCAGCAAUGCGUUACUGUGGAGCUCUGGAGGGUAUGCAGUAUUACAGGCGCUCUCGUUUUGGUAACUCAAAUCCACUCAAUCAUUCAUGGGAAGAUAGCUCUCUAAUUUUUUCAUUACGUUAAGACUGACAAAGUCUCUGGAAAACAUAUUCAAUACUAGUCAUCAUAACACAGAAUGCUAUGGGCUGUGAACACAGGAGUUCUGUAGAUGACAGUGAACAAUGCAGCAUAGUUAGCUAAGCUGCAGUUCUGCAGUGUAGUUGCCUAGAAUAAGACAAAGAGGAUGCUAAAAAAAAAGAUGCCAUCAAUUCUGUAGAAAAUACAUACUUUAAAGGUUCAUCUACACAGAGCACUCUACACAGAAUCACACCACAGAUGUGCUGGCCCUGUCACUGCUGCAACAAACUUCUGCAGCCUCUGCUGGCUGUCAGUUCAGUAAGCAUCUGCAAACAUUACUAUCAGAACUGGAGCCCCAGAACAACACCAUGUGAUUUUCUGUGCAGUGCUCUAAGUCAUUAGAACUGGGUGAAAGUACUGCUAAAUUCAUGUUUUGUUCAUUGCACAUUGUCCUUCAGCAGCUUUCAAUCAUUUACAAAGACAGCAAUGUUUUAGGGAAGAGCAAGUCUGCCUCUUUCUCUAGCAUUCGCUGUCACCUUUUCUGCUCUCUGGUCUUGCUCCUGUACUAGAUGAGCGCUUUCAAAAAGCUGCCUGACACAUGGCAAGCACUUUGCCUGGUUUGCAAGAAAUGUGUUGUUUUAACAGAGUGGUGAUCUGUGAAAUUCUCAUCCUCGUGCACCAAUGCAACCCCAUAGAAGACUAGGGGAAAUCUGCUCUCAGUAAAGCACAGAAGCAGGUGAUGGCUCAUGGAGAUCUUCAGAAGAAAGACAUGACCAAGGCACUAGCUGUCAUCCUCUUUAUGCUGGACUCUGGGAUGUUUCAGCUUAGGACCUGAGCUUGACAGGCACGUCCUUUGAACUCCCCUGUACCCAGCAUGUCUUUCUGGGCCACGGGCACAUUCAGACAGGCUACCCUGACACUUCACAAACAGCUAGACGGCCUCCACUGCCUGUGCCUUGGGAACAUCCACUCACCUAGUUAAUCCCAAAGUUCAAGGGGGAUCAAAGUGCACAGAAUUUUUAACAGUGGUGCCAGGUUCAAGUGGGCCCUGAUACAAGGACAUUAACUACUGAGCCAGGAUGAGAAAAGCAGAGAAAAGUAGCAGAGGUCUGACCCAGGGUGGCACACAAUGAGCCACCCCAGGAGGCUGGAGCCUGUUCAGGGACAUCUGGUCCUAAGAGCCACACUAACCUCCCCUCCCUCUUUCCUCCUUUCCCUCCCUCCUGCUGCAUAUUCCCCCUUCAUCUCUGGCAAAAAAACUGGCUUCCUGCAGUCACAAGGAGGAGCAAUUACCAUAUGGGCUUGCCGCUAGGAGACAAGAGGGACGCUCAACAUAGCAGAUGGAUCAGGGUGAAUCAUGCAGGGAAGAACAGAUUCUCCCCAUAUCUCCCUGCUUCCUCUGCCAGAUAUUUAGGAAUUCCUGCCCAGUUUUAUUACACACAAGAUGAACCUUAUUGUCAGCUCUUACUGCCUCAAGCCAGAGAGGUAUUUUUGUUGGGCUAUGCUUCUCCCUCCAGCCCCACACUCCCCAAAGCCACAGACACAGGCUCAGACCAACUAACAGAAGUACCCAGAGGAGAAACCCCAUCAUGCAGCCCCUCUUCCCCUCUCCAUUCAUCACUGUCAAGCUCCAAUAAUGGAACAUUUGCAUCCUUGAUUUCCCACAGUAGCUCCCCCAACUCCCCUAAAAUUAGCAGUCCACCUAUAUUUACACAAAAACAUAUCUGCUAUACGUCUGCUUGUAAUGAAGGCUGCAGAGGGAGGGCAGAGCAGGAAAGCGUGAUUUAUCUCUCCUGGUGCUCCACAAACAUUUCUGGCCCUGAGUAGCAAUACCAGCUUUCAUUCUUCAUGUUCUCCAUCAUCCUCCACAGUGUAAUGAAGCCAAGCAGUGGUACUGCUGUUACUGGGAGUUUGUUCUCUUUGUUUGCAUCAUUAUCACUUCUCUCCCUCCUUUGUGAGCCUUCAAAUGGUAGUAUGCAGGCAUGGCUAACCAGUUGCCAUAGCAAUCCACUGGAGUCCUUGUCAUAUUGCAGGAAGUAAUAUGAAAAAAAAAAAAAGCUGGAUUGUAAC